GGCGGCNUGCAUACACAUGCAAGUCGAACGAAGAAAGCCCCUUCGGGGGCAGACUUAGUGGCGCACGGGUGAGUAACAUGUGGGUAACCAACCGUAAGCAGGGGAACAACCGGCAGAAAUGCCGGCUAAAACCGCAUAAGCUUCAGCAGCCGCAUGGCAGCAGAAGAAAAAGAGAAAUCUGGCAAACGACGGACCCGCACCUGAUUAGCUAGUAGGUGAGACAACAGCCCACCUAGGCAACGAUCAGUAGCCGGCCUGAGAGGGCGGACGGCCACAUUGGGACUGAGACACGGCCCAAACUCCUACGGGAGGCAGCAGUGGGGAAUAUUGCACAAUGGAGGAAACUCUGAUGCAGCAACGCCGCGUGAGGGAAGAAGGGUCUCGGCUCGUAAACCUCUAUCAACGGAGACGAAACAAACGACGGUAUCCGAAUAAGAAGCCCCGGCUAACUACGUGCCAGCAGCCGCGGUAAUACGUAGGGGGCAAGCGUUAUCCGGAAUCACUGGGUGUAAAGGGAGAGUAGGCGGCAUCGCAAGUUAGGUGUGAAACCCCAAAGCUCAACUAUGGGCAUGCACUUAAAACUACGAAGCUAGAGUACAGGAGAGGUAAGCGGAAUUCCUAGUGUAGCGGUGAAAUGCGUAGAUAUUAGGAAGAACACCGGUGGCGAAGGCGGCUUACUGGACUGAAACAGACGCUGAGGCUCGAAAGCGUGGGGAGCGAACAGGAUUAGAUACCCUGGUAGUCCACGCGGUAAACGAUGAGUGCUAGGUGUCGGGGAACAAAUCCCCGGUGCCGCAGUAAACACAAUAAGCACUCCACCUGGGGAGUACGGUCGCAAGACUGAAACUCAAAGGAAUUGACGGGGGCCCGCACAAGCGGUGGAGCAUGUGGUUUAAUUCGAAGCAACGCGAAGAACCUUACCAAGGUUUGACAUCCCUCUGACAGGAAUAGAAAUAUACCAUCCCCACGGGGCAGAGGAGACAGGUGGUGCAUGGUUGUCGUCAGCUCGUGUCGUGAGAUGUUGGGUUAAGUCCCGCAACGAGCGCAACCCUUAUCCUUAGUAGCUAACAGACAAAGCUGAGCACUCUAAAGAGACUGCCGUGGAGAACACGGAGGAAGGCGGGGAUGACGUCAAAUCAUCAUGCCCCUUAUACCUUGGGCAACACACGUGCUACAAUGGCUCAAACAAAGUGACGCAAAGGGGCGACCCCAAGCAAAGCACAAAAAAAGAGUCCCAGUUCGGAUUGAAGUCUGCAACCCGACUUCAUGAAGUUGGAAUCGCUAGUAAUCGCAAAUCAGCAUGUUGCGGUGAAUACGUUCCCGGGCCUUGUACACACCGCCCGUCACACCAUGGGAGUCGGAAGCGCCCNAACAUACGUGACCGGACCUGAAAAGGACGGAGCGUCCUAAGGCGAAAU
rnacentral:rRNA from 1 species